rnacentral:lncRNA from 10 species
GAAAAAUCCAAAUGACCCAGCCAAUAUUUUCUUUCAGACUCAGGCAAGGCUGGUCCCUGCCCUGGGCUCCACACUUCAGAGGGCCCUGGGCUCCACACUUCAGAGGGCCCUGGGCUCCACACUUCAGAGGGCCCUGGGUAUGACAAAACUAUGAAAAAAAAGAUCCUUAGGAAUGACUACAGUCAAAAUCACAAAAGAAGUAGAAAAUGUAAAAGUAACCCCAAAAUAGAAAGAAGAAAUAAUCUUCAAAGAGGAUGUUUUCUUAAAUUGUUUAAACUCACAACUAAAUUGAACAAAUGUAUGUUAAGCAUAAUCUACAUAAGAUUUAUGAAUAAGAUAUUACAAAUUCUAUAUACACUGAGGUUUUACUUACUGUUAAAAACAAUGGAAAUGUACAAGAAAUUGUCCCAGUCAAAUCCACGACUUGUAUGCCCCUGAUGAAAUUCCUGCAACUAAGAAAAUUCAAUAAUUCACAUUUUAAAAUAUGAAUAUUUCUUAUCAAAUGAAGAUUUAAUUACUUAUCAAAACAAAGAAGAUUUGAAAAGAUAUUCAUAUCAAAAUCACAACCCAAAAACAUCAAAUGCAUCUCUGCAUUUCCCUUUAAAAGAUGCAAAAAAAAUGACAUUCAUGCAUUAUAAGUUGAAUGAGAAAGACAGAACCUCUGGAACUUUACUGUUUAUUAGAUGAUGAUCCUAGAAAACAGUCCAUGUGAACUUUCUGACAGUGUGAGAAUGUUUCUUGCAAAAUACACUCUGCAGCAAAUAAACGAUUUUGAUUUUUCAUUGCCUGAACAUUGCAGAAAAUGUUAUACUCCAUUUUAUAUCAAAAUUCUCUCAAAUGGAGAGAAAAAUGUUAAAACUGACUUACGUUUUAAUGUCAAAAACAAAAUACUGUGUUACUACUGUCAAAUGCUUCACAACUAAUCUUCAAAAUGAAGGUAUUUGUUGCUAACAACACUUAGGAUCUCAAUUAAAAGAACACAAAUAUAUCAGUUGUGCAUAUAUACAUAAACACACAAAACAAAAUGUGCAAUUACUAGAACUUUUUAAAAAUUUAAAUAGCAAAAAUUGACAGUACUCUGUAAAGAAAGACAUAGGAUAUUAGCAUGAUAUAUUUUUUUAAAAUGUUAUGUAUUUCAUAUUUAUCCCAAGCUUUUCAUAACACAAACAACAAACAUUUUCAGAAAACACUGGAAAAUUUUUAGUUUAAAUAGAAAUUAUUGAGAAAAGUUAUGCUAUGAUGUUUGAACAUGUAAGCUGAAUAAAAAUAAACAAAUGU